UACUAUGCAGUAUCGUAGCCAAUGAGGUUAAUCCGAGGCACGAUUGUUGCCAUUGAAAACUUUUCCUAUACUUACUGCUGCUGAAUGGAGAAAGUGAGUGGAGCACCAUCUGUGGU
ensembl:snRNA U4 U4 spliceosomal RNA